rnacentral:rRNA from 1 species
UACAGAGGGGGCAAGCGUUAUCCGGAAUUAUUGGGCGUAAAGAGCUCGUAGGCGGUCUGUCACGUCGGCUGUGAAAACCCGAGGCUCAACCUCGGGCCUGCAGUCGAUACGGGCAAACUAGAGUACUGCAGGGGAGACUGGAAUUCCUGGUGUAGCGGUGAAAUGCGCAGAUAUCAGGAGGAACACCGGUGGCGAAGGCGGGUCUCUGGGCAGUAACUGACGCUGGAGGAGCGAAAGCGUGGGGAGCGAACAGG